ACAGCAUCAGGGGAAGCACCGUGACCACCAUGAUCAAUCAGGUGGUUUUCCCAGGGCAGGUGAUUGUCCCUGAUAUGUCCUCCAUAGGAGGUCUAUAUUGAGCAGAUUCUUUUUGGUGUUGGGUGGUGGAACCGGAGCUUGCUCCAUCCACUCCAUGCAUUGACCUGGUCUUGCAGUACUUCCAGGACCGGUGCAAAAAAA
rnacentral:snRNA from 1 species